rnacentral:rRNA from 1 species
GUAGAGCACUGUUUGGGUGAGGGGUCCAUCCCGGAUUACCAAUCUCAGAUAAACUCCGAAUGCCAACGAGAUAUAAUCGGCAGUCAGACUGCGAGUGCUAAGAUCCGUAGUCGAAAGGGAAACAGCCCAGACCACCAGCUAAGGUCCCAAAAUAUAUGUUAAGUGGAAAAGGAUGUGGGGUUGCACAGACAACUAGGAUGUUAGCUUAGAAGCAGCUAUUCAUUCAAAGAGUGCGUAAUAGCUCACUAGUCGAGUGACCCUGCGCCGAAAAUGUACCGGGGCUAAAACAUAUUACCGAAGCUGUGGAUACCUUUAUAGGUAUGGUAGGAGAGCGUUCUAUGUGCGAAGAAGGUGUACCGUGAGGAGUGCUGGAGCGCAUAGAAGUGAGAAUGCCGGUAUGAGUAGCGAAAGACAGGUGAGAAUCCUGUCCACCGUAAGACUAAGGUUUCCAGGGGAAGGCUCGUCCGCCCUGGGUUAGUCGGGACCUAAGGAGAGACCGAAAGGUGUAUCCGAUGGACAACAGGUUGAUAUUCCUGUACUAGAGUAUAUAGUGAUGGAGGGACGCAGUAGGCUAACUAAACCAGACGAUUGGAAGUGUCUGGCCAAGCAGUGAGGUGUGAUAUGAGUCAAAUGCUUAUAUCUAUAACAUUGAGCUGUGAUGGGGAGCGAAGUUUAGUAGCGAAGUUAGUGAUGUCACACUGCCGAGAAAAGCUUCUAGCGUUAAUUAUACUCUACCCGUACCGCAAACCGACACAGGUAGUCGAGGCGAGUAGCCUCAGGUGAGCGAGAGAACUCUCGUUAAGGAACUCGGCAAAAUGGCCCCGUAACUUCGGGAGAAGGGGCGCUGACUUAUGGUCAGCCGCAGUGAAUAGGCCCAAGCAACUGUUUAUCAAAAACACAGCUCUCUGCUAAAUCGUAAGAUGAUGUAUAGGGGGUGACGCCUGCCCGGUGCUGGAAGGUUAAGAGGAGUGCUUAGCAAUAGCGAAGGUAUGAAUUGAAGCCCCAGUAAACGGCGGCCGUAACUAUAACGGUCCUAAGGUAGCGAAAUUCCUUGUCGGGUAAGUUCC